GAGGAUGCUCUCCGCUGGCCCGAGUCUCCCUCCAGACGUCGUCAGGGCACUUAAGAAAGCAUCACCAGGUGAUUCUCAGUGGCCCUGAGUGCUCCACCAAAAGCCGUCUCCCAGGGGAAAUGAGUCCCAGCCUGGGCAGCUCUGGCUGGGAGCUCUCAGAGCCCAAGCUGGGGGCUCUGAAGCUGGUGACCUCUCCGUGGGUCUCUGUGAUUGCAGAGGGAAGAGAAGACCCCCCACGGGCAUCUGCCCCUCUCUAAAUUCUCCGCCCCGCCGCUCUCCACCAUAUCCUGAGGAACCGCCCGGGGACUCUCCUCCUGCCUGGUGAUCUGCUAACAAAGGGCACAGUUUUCAGUUCUAGAGUCAAAAGAGCUGGACUGGCCACAACAUCUGGCUGCCCUCCCUUGGAUUCCAUCCUGUAAGAGCACUGUGUUUCGUCCCCUCCAGUAUGGAGAAAAAUAUCCCAUCCCAGAGUUGCUGCGGGCAUCAAACAGGGCAAGAUGUGUAUGGAGAAAUUGAGACUCAGAGAUGAAGAGUUUGCCCAAGAUGCUCACACGGUAGAGAGGCUGGAGGGAGGUCAUAAAUCCCACCUGAGAACCAGCCUCCCACCAGGCCCCGUGCUUCACUGGCAGCACAGCUCUCCUGAGCGUGGAGCCGGCAGGCGGCACAGGAGACACCUGGGAGCCCCGGGGACGCUGGCCCAGCAGGGCCGGAAGACUGGGAACACCCUGGGGGGGAGCAGUGCUGUGUCGGAGGGGAGCUGUCUGCUCCAUCGACUUGUCGAUUUGAGAGGCUGCGAGGUCACAGGGACAAUGGAGGAAGUGGUGUGUCUAGACAUAUGUCAAAUUACCCGGCUACAAGAAUCCCCACCGGAAUGUGCUCCACGUAGGUAAUGACCUGGUGCUGCAUUCACCAGGGCCAGGCUGUGCAGCUCCACAGUGGGGCUGGGCAUCAGGCCUGGUCUGAGCCGGCUGUGCCACCUUCCAGCUGUGGAGCCAGGGUGGCAGUGGUGGUUUGUUUUCUUGGUUCGAACCUCCUGGGGACUCAGGGUUGUCAUCCGCAGACUGCACUGCCAGCAGCGAGCAUUUGCCGUGCCUGGCUUCCCGGCAGCAUUUACACAGCACUCGGCUUUGUGUCCUGCCUCCCGAGGUGAACGCUCCCCACCCUCCCUCGCAGGAAGGCUGGAGGUAGGGGAGGCCUCUGGUGCGGAAGGAAGCCCCAUGAAGAGGCGGGCUCCGGCUGGGCGGCGGGGGAGGCUCCGGCUCCAGGGGCAGCCGUGGCAAGCUUUCCAUCACUACUGCCCAGUGCUGGCCUUCACUGCGAUAUCAUCGCCCGGAGGCCUCGGCAGGCAGCCAGCACUGCUGCUGGUUGCAGUGCCCCCGGGCCUGUCUCCAGCCCUCCAAGAGCAUUGGGGAGUGAAAUUCCUAAAUAAAUUCCCCUUCUGCAUAACCUUGCUCAGGUGGGUUCUGCUACUUGCAACCAUAAAGCCGGACUUACCCACUGUCUCCCAAGGUCACUCCAAAGCUUAAAUGAGAUACUGAUUGUAAAUUGCUCAGCAUGGCGCUCAGCACAUAGUGGGAUGAAUGCAUAGCUGUUGAGUGAAUGAAAGAAUGAAUUCAUGGAAAGCACGUGGCAGGGCAUUUUGCACCUAAUAAUCACUUACUGACUAUGUGUUAUUGUGACUGUGACUAUUAUUUAUAAAAUAAUAACAAUUCAGCCUUGAAAAUAGCCACCAGCCUAUGUGCCUCUGGGCAGCCAAAGAAAAUGCAUAACCGUGGUGAUCGCUGGGGCCGAUGCCCCUCUUCCAGGCCAGGCUGUGUAAAAUUGCAUCUCUCCGUGCCCUUGAGCUGAGGCCAAUUAAACGUGUGCGGAAGUGACAGAUCUUCUGAUUGGGAGUUUCCAGUCCAGGGGGUGACCUGCCAUGACUUUGCCGGUGCGGCUGGUGAGGUGUGCGUGGUGGUGGAGUCAGGAGAGCAGGGCUUCCAGGCCACACCCUGUAGGGACACACGGCUUGGGAGAGAAACAAGCGUUUGUUGUCUUCCGCCACCAAGUGUUGUCGUGGCAGCAAACCUCGUCCAUCCUGAGGGAUGGAGGGACCCCAAGGAAGACAGCACAGCAGGCUGGAGGGCCUCAACCUUUGUCCAGCAAGCCGUUCCUUCUCUCCUGUCCACGUGGGUCUUGAAUGGGAAUCUGCUUCCGGUUUGCCUCUACUGCGAUGUCUGUGUUCUCUCUGCCGAUUUGCUGACCCACAACAGAAGGAGCUGGGGUGGGGGCGGCUCUGAUGGGAACUGAACGCAGCCAGCGAAAAUGCCCUGAACCGGGCUUCUCGUCUGCCUCCUGCAGCCCUUGUAAAGCUCUCAGGAUAAACCUUCCUCUGUUUUAUCCACAUUAAGAGGGGUCUUCUUUGGCCGUCUGUGGGGGCUUGCGUGGGACUCAGGGUGGCAUCAAGUAGGACCUGCAUCCCUUUAGAGUGUUAUUUUUGUUGUGAGCGAAAAACGUUUGUUCACGAGAAAUUUGGCUACUGAAAACGGCUGGUGCAGAUAAAUGAACGGCUCUCUCUGCUGGAUGUUUUCGGCCUAUUCCAGAUGUGUCAACUUGCAGGCAAACAGGGUGUUCUCUCCUACACUGCUGACCAUGUGGCCAGCGGGUUGGAGAGUUGACAUGGCAAUGUCACACGGGUGCCGACAGAGCUCUCUGUGACCGCCACUCAUCUCGGACAAGGUUCUGACAGAAUGGCAGAAUCAGUGAGCCCGUCACAGUGAGUCAUUCACUCCGUGCCUCGGUGGCGUCGUGGACCGACUCUUGACUGUCCUGGACAGUGCACGAGGAGAGCGAGUGCAUCGACCGUGUGCGUUUGUUGAAUGCUUGUGGGGAUCUGAAAAAACGGACUUCAACCGCGUUUGGGGAAAUGUAUGUUUGGGAAUUUUCCAUACCAACAAACCACAUGGCCAGUGGGCAGUAGCCGUCAUGCUGCUGCAGCCUGUGGGUCUUUGAAGCCAAAGAAGGGAUCAAAAGCAAAAGUCUGUCACAGUGAAGAGUGGAUGCUGACCGGUGGGAGACCUUGUCAACCUUGGUCCCUCGGCACCAUUUUUUGUGCACCUCUGGCUUCUCCCGUCAACCUGCUCCCCCCGGAGUCUUUCUGGUCUCAGAAAAUGACUGCCGUCUCCCUCCUUCCCACAGUUCAGAUCUGAAAGCUUGAAGGUGCCCCAGCUACUGUGUUUUGCUCACAUCUCACACCCGUGCGUCAGGAAACCCCGGUCAGCUCCAUCUUCGAAAUCGGUCUGGAACCCCUCUCUUCUCGUCACCCGCACAGCUGCACCUCGGCCCAGUCGUCACGUCCCCUGGACUGUUGCAGUCACCUCCUCACUGACGGUUAACCCCUCCCGACAGUGCAUUCUCACGUGGGAGCGAGACGUCCAGCCUGCUGCCCGAACUGAGCAUCGCAUGUGAGCAUAUGGUCAGUGCUUCGUAAGGAUUCAUCUUUGACCCCACGGAACCCUCCAUCACAGAAGCACAGGGUGAGAUGGGUCUUCAAGGUCACCUUCCCCUCCUGUGGAACAUCCUGGGAGGGUGUUUGCCUGGAUUAUCUCCAGUACUAGGGACUCACUCCCCAGAGGUGUCUCCAACUUCAAGGGGUCUCUGUUGCUUUAUAUUCAACUAGAAUUUUCCACUUAACUCCACUCAUGGCUUCCAACUUUGCUCUCAGAGGAGAUGCCAUCUUCAGUUCCCCGGUUAUAGAAGCCCUGGGGUGGCUCUGGGCCCGGGAGGGUCUGCUCUGUUUCACAGGUGAGGACACCGAGGUGGGACAAAGCCAUCUGGGUGGUGACUCAAUGUUCUGCUAAGAUCGUAGAGGCCAGGUUCAAAACCACACCACGCCCGUUCCCAGACAUCAACACCAUAGCGGAGCAGGUCUCUGUGCAAGCUCUCAGCACCUACGUUCUCACCGCCUCCCACUGUGGUCUGCUACGGGGUGUGGGGCUACGGAGGUGGAAGACACAGGCCCUACCCCUACAGGGCCCCCAGCCUGGUUGGGGAGGCUAACGGGAGUGGAAGGUGAGCAGGUCACUUGGAGAACAAGGAGGAAGUGAAUGUGAUCUGGCCUGGGAGCAUCAUGGACGGUUCCCUGGAGUCGGUGAUAUCAACAUCCUCAACCUCCCUUGAUGGAUGGGGGAUCCCCCUGCUUCCAAGCAAGGAGCCAGCUCCCUCAAGUAUUCAUGCACGGGGUCCUAUGCACGCGAUCGCCCUGCAGGUGGCGUUGCCCUUGGCCUGAAGAAGGCGACGUGAAAUAGUGCCCUCAGGGGGGUGAGAUGCUCUAACCCUAGAUGUUGGUGGCGGCUGCACAGCUCUGGGAAUAUACAAACAUUGACUUGUACG